UUGAUUUUUCGCCCUGCGGGCAUAAGACUUAGCGGGUGCAAAAGAAGACGUCUUUCUAAUUUGUCUAUUAUGUUCAAAAGCAAAGCUCUUUAAUACAUUAAGCAUGGUUACUUUAUUGGUUUGUUAGCCAUGUAUUGGAUGUUAUGUUUGCAGCAUGCCCAGUUUCCACUCGUAUAGUCCGUGAACUAUCAGCACGAUGACCAUUACUUUGUCUUCCCUUAACAAUGCAGCAUAGAGAGACGCCGACUGUGGUGCGUCGAACAACAAAACUGGAUACAGGAGUGGCACAGUAUCAUCUUUUCAGAUGAGUCCCGUUUCUGUGUGCAGCAUUCUGAUUGCCAUAUACGUAAUUUGAAAUUUUUCAAUGUAAUUUGAAUUUGGUAAUUUGAAUGCAGAUCGUAACAUUUCUGACAUCUUACGUCCAGUGGUUGUGCCCUAUCUUCAAGGCCUGCCAAAUGCCAUCUUCCAAGAAGAUAAUGUAAGACCACAUGUUACAAGUUCUGUUCCGACCUUUCUCCAUACACAGGGUAUUCGAUUGCUGCCCUGGCCAGCACGGUCUCCAGAUCUGUUACCCAUUGAAAACAUCUGGUCAUGGGCUGAUAAGAGACUGGCUCGCCAAUACGGUUGAUGAAGUGUGUCAUAAGCUUGAAGCAGCAUGGAAUGAGUUAGCCGUUUCUGUCAUCCAAGCCCAGUUUGACUCCAUGCCUAACCAAGUAUUUAUAAACAGAGGGUUUAGAUGUUCUAAAGUGCAGUAUUAUGGUAGAACACCCUUGCAAAAUAAAAAAGUAUUCCAAAGAACUCUAAUAUACAAAAAACAAUAAAAAUAGAUUUGCAACUAAUAAAGUUGGCAAAAUUGAUAAAUCCAAACAUCGUGAUGGUUUAGAAACUGAAACUUUACCAGAAAUACAGGUAAUGAUUUAAAAAUUGCUUGAGAAGAGAGAGAAAACGAGGUGUUGACAUAAUGGAACUAAGAUUCUUAGAUGAAAAAUAUAUGCACAACAAAGCCAAUAGGUUCAAGGAAAUGAAAAGUCAUGAAAGAGAGAAUCCAUCAUCAGCAGCAUGUCAAAUUAUGAUUUGCAAUUUGAUUGCUGAAAAUUAAUGUCAUCUCAUUAUUUCUGUGCGAUACUGACUUUAAUGAGUAUAGAAACAAAUUGUUGAGGAUCAUUGUUGAUGAAAGAACUAAGGAAAAUAUAUUCAUAAGAGAAAAAGGCAUGAUAAAGAGUAAUAUCAAAGUAACUUCAUCUUAGAGUCUUAGAUCUUGCUUCAUAGAUGUCCUUUCUGGCACUAAUAAUGAUUUUUAGAAAAUAGACAUAAUUUCUUGUUCAGUUAGAAAGUUCUAUUGAGACUAUGAUGACAAAAUUUCAAAACCUGAGGAUAUAUUUUUGUAAAGAAAGGGAAAAGGCAAAGUGAAACAAGGAUCCACUGGAUUUGUACCCAAGUGGGAACGUUAUGUACACCUCCAGAUUUUAGAUGACUGUUUUGCUGCUAUGGCCAGUUGCAGCAAUAUCGAUAAUUCUUUUGAGUGUAUUAUAAUGAAUUCUGUUCAAGAAACUAAAAGUUCUUUUCCAGAAGUCCUUCUGCCCUUUUGUCAGUAAUGAAGCAACAGAUAAUCCACUGAUAACUGAAACUCGAAAUUUCUGAAACUUAACUGAUUGCUCCAGGCAUGAACAGGAAAAGAAAAAAAAAACAGAUGUUUGACAAAAUGUUUGAAAAGCACUAUAGAGGCGAAAGACAUAAAUCAAAAUUUUUGGUGCAUAUGUUGCUGGUCAGCUGAAGAUAGUGAAACGUCCUGAUCAGAAACUGUUAAGGAAUCCAAGAUUUGAUUUAGGAAUUUAAACAUCCAAAAUAAAAUUCUGUUGAACAUGAA